rnacentral:rRNA from 1 species
GACGAACGCUGGCGGCGUGCUUAACACAUGCAAGUCGAGCGGUAAGGCCCUUUCGGGGGUACACGAGCGGCGAACGGGUGAGUAACACGUGGGUGACCUGCCCUCAGCUCUGGGAUAAGCCUGGGAAACUGGGUCUAAUACUGGAUAUGACUCCACGGUGCAUGUCGUGGGGUGGAAAGCCUUGUGCGGCUGAGGAUGGGCCCGCGGCCUAUCAGCUUGUUGGUGGGGNGAUGGCCUACCAAGGCGACGACGGGUAGCCGGCCUGAGAGGGCGACCGGCCACACUGGGACUGAGACACGGCCCAGACUCCUACGGGAGGCAGCAGUGGGGAAUCUUGCGCAAUGGGCGAAAGCCUGACGCAGCGACGCUGCGUGAGGGAUGACGGCCUCGGUUGUAA